GCCAGUCAAUCAGUCAGCCAGUCAAUCAGCCAGUCAGUCAGUCAGCCAGUCAGUCAGCCAGUCAGUCAGUCAGUCAGUGUCGGGGCCAGCAAUUAACUAUGCAAUACGCUGACGUCACCAGCAACUGCAACUCCAACUCCAAUUCCAAUCCCGGUCUCGCCAGCUCGAAAAUGCCGCAUCAUGUUGCCGCUGAAUGAGGCCUUUGAUUUGUUUUGCAAGUGUGUUGUUGCUAUAUCCGCUACAAAGGAAUUUGCAUUUCAAAUGAAUUACAACGCCCCGGAGGAAUAUCAAACCAACAAAAAAAAAAAAACAAAAAAGGAAACCAAAAAAAGUAUUGUGUA